CGAUGGGCGGUGCGAUGCUUCUCUUCUUUCUCAUCGUCCUCCUCCUUGGCGACUCGCUUCAAGCAUCUGUUGAUACAGUGUUAGAUCAAGGAUCUCUUUCACUUGAUGUCAUUGAGCAGGUAGUCAUCUUGCUUCGAAGUUUC